AGUGAACGCUGGCGGUAGGCCUAACACAUGCAAGUCGAACGGCAGCACAGUAAGAGCUUGCUCUUACGGGUGGCGAGUGGCGGACGGGUGAGGAAUACAUCGGAAUCUACUUUUUCGUGGGGGAUAACGUAGGGAAACUUACGCUAAUACCGCAUACGACCUACGGGUGAAAGCAGGGGAUCUUCGGACCUUGCGCGAUUGAAUGAGCCGAUGUCGGAUUAGCUAGUUGGCGGGGUAAAGGCCCACCAAGGCGACGAUCCGUAGCUGGUCUGAGAGGAUGAUCAGCCACACUGGAACUGAGCACCGGUCCAGAUUCCUACGGGAGGCAGCAGUGGGAAAUAUUGGACAAGGGGCGCAAGCCUGAUCCAGCCAUACCGCGUGGGUGAAGAAGGCUUCCGGUUUGUAAGCCCUUUUGUUGGGAAAGAAAAGCAGCAGGUUAAUACCCCGCUGUUCUGACGGUACCCAAAGAAUAAGCACCGGCUAACUUCGUG
rnacentral:rRNA from 1 species